GAUGAACGCUGGCGGCGUGCCUAAUACAUGCAAGUCGAGCGAACAGACGAGAGUGCUUGCACUCUCUGACGUUAGCGGCGGACGGGUGAGUAACACGUGGGUAACCUACCUAUAAGACUGGGAUAACUUCGGGAAACCGGAGUUAAUACCGGAUAAUAUUUAGCUUCGCAUGAAGCAAUAGUGAAAGACGGUUCUGCUGUCACUUAUAGAUGGACCCGCGGUGUAUUAGCUAGUUGGUGAGGUAACGGCUCACCAAGGCAACGAUACAUAGCCGACCUGAGAGGGUGAUCGGCCACACUGGGACUGAGACACGGCCCAGACUCCUACGGGAGGCAGCAGUAGGGAAUCUUCCGCAAUGGACGAAAGUCUGACGGAGCAAUGCCGCGUGAGUGAAGAAGGUUUUCGGAUCGUAAAACUCUGUUGUAAGGGAAGAACAAGUACGUUAGUAACUGAACGUACCUUGACGGUACCUUACCAGAAAGCCACGGCUAACUACGUG
rnacentral:rRNA from 1 species